GAUGAAGAACGUAGCGAAAUGCGAUACGUAAUGUGAAUUGCAAAUUCAGUGAAUCAUCGAGUCUUUGAACGCACAUUGCGCCCCCUGGUAUUCCGGGGGGCAUGCCUGUCCGAGCGUCAUUGCUGCCCAUCAAGCACGGCUUGUGUGUUGGGUCGUCGUCCCCUCUCCGGGGGGGACGGGCCCCAAAGGCAGCGGCGGCACCGCGUCCGAUCCUCGAGCGUAUGGGGCUUUGUCACCCGCUCUGUAGGCCCGGCCGGCGCUUGCCGAACGCAAAACAACCAUUUUUUCCAGGUUGACCUCGGAUCAGGUAGGGAUACCCGCUGAACUUAAGCAUAUCAAUAAGCGGAGGA
rnacentral:misc_RNA from 1 species